CCUACGGGAGGCAGCAGUGAGGAAUAUUGGUCAAUGGACGAGAGUCUGAACCAGCCAAGUAGCGUGAAAGAUGACUGCCCUAUGGGUUGUAAACUUCUUUUAUAUGGGAAUAAAAUGUUCCACGUGUGGGAUUUUGUAUGUAGCAUAUGAAUAAGGAUCGGCUAACUCCGUGCCAGCAGCCGCGGUAAUACGGAGGAUCCGAGCGUUAUCCGGAUUUAUUGGGUUUAAAGGGAGCGUAGGUGGAUUGUUAAGUCAGUUGUGAAAGUUUGCGGCUCAACCGUAAAAUUGCAGUUGAAACUGGCAGUCUUGAGUACAGUAGAGGUGGGCGGAAUUCGUGGUGUAGCGGUGAAAUGCUUAGAUAUCACGAAGAACUCCGAUUGCGAAGGCAGUUCACUGGACUGCAACUGACACUGAGGCUCGAAAGUGUGGGUAUCAAACAGGAUUAGAUACCCUUGUAGUC
rnacentral:rRNA from 1 species